rnacentral:lncRNA from 1 species
CAAGUGUAUUUUAACAUAACUAAAUGUUUAAACUUUAGAUCUUUAUUUUAAACUUUACCAUUAUUUUAAGAAGUUUUUGCUAGGGUAAAUGUUUUCCAUAAGUUUUUUUUUUUUUUUUCUUUUAUAUAUCGGAUAAAGGGAUUACAUUUGUUCUCCGAGUUUUUAUAGAAGCCCCAUCGCUAUCACCAUCACUAUUUUGAUUUUUCCAAGAUGGCCGUUUUUGUUUCGCGAACGUUCUGCGAGGAGAGUUCGGCGACUUGCGUGACUUACGAACAGAACUGCCUAAUUGUGCCGCUUGUGCCUGGACAAUGGAAGAUGAUGCAAAGGCCAAAAGAAAGCUACUCUGCAUCUGCACUCUGAAUAAUGUGAUGUCUCGGUAGCUACACAUGCUUUGUUAAAGGGAAGUUUAUUUCGCCACUUGCUAGGCAUCAUUGAGGUGAUUUGGCUGUGUGCCUUUAUUUUAUGCUAAUAGAAUGUACUGCACUUACAACUGCUUGUUGUAGGUGCAGCCUACAACAAUCAGUUGCAAAGGAGCACCGUUUAGUGAAUCCAUUCGAUUAACAUAAGCAAGUCUGGAAGAUGCUAAAGACUAGAGCAUGAUGCACUGAGGCAUGUUGACCUAUGCUUGAGCACCCACUCUCCUCUCUUGGGCUGUAAACCAGGCAAAAUGUAAAAUUAUUCUUGCGAAAACAGCAGGGAUGUGGCAUGCAUAAAAACUUGUCGAUCAUGCUCUGAAUAUGCUGGCCGCCCAAGCGAGCGACUCACUGACUGACUGGCUCGGCUUUGCCAUCAGCCAAGGCAGGACAAGCAAAUGCUAGAGCAAGCAGUCAAGUUCGGUGAAUUUUGUUUUUCUAAAAACAAAUUUGCUAAAAGGAGAUUCGUUGCCAUUUCCUCUAAACGGAGUCUCUUCUUGAAAGAAUUCAAUAAAAAAGGGGUUUCAAAACUUGUGCUUGGAAAAAUAGAUGCCUCUGCUCGGGCCGUACACAUCAACUUUCUUAGAUCUGUCGGUUGACAAGCUCCAUAGAAGAGCAGCAGUAAAAAAAAAAAAAAAAAAAAUUGAGACGUUUACAAUUCUUUGUAACAUGAAAUUAGAGCGCAGCGCUUGAGUAGGAGGAGGGGAGGUUAUGCCUCUCCUAUCCCUCCAUACCCUCUCCUCCCCCUCCCAUUUAGCAGGCAAUUUUCGCUAAAUUUCCUGCUAAAUUUAGCAAGAAUUUCCCCGCUAAAUUUAGCGGUUUAAGUUUCCUCUCUAAAUCUUGUGGGGAAAUUGAUGUCACACAACCUCAACACCAAUUCAGUUUCCCCGCUAUAUUUAGCGGGGAAACUGAAUUGGUGUUGAGGAAACAACCCUGCUAAAUGGCACAUGACUUCAUGCCACGUCACUCACAAACAAAUUCAGUUCCUCAGCUAGAUUUAGCAGAAAAAUUGACAUUGCGUGACCUCAACACAAAUUCAAUUUCUCACUAAAUUCAGCAAGGUGAUCAUGCAGACGGCGACGCAAUGAAGCGUGGAAAUGGGCACCUAAGAGCUGCACUCUAAACCAGUUUUUCUCUGUUGCCGGUGCACAAGCAGGUAAGGGCGGAUAGCAUUCCUAGUGCCAAUUCCUUUGCGGUCAACGAAAAACGCUUUUUGAACAACGCUCUUUCUGUUUUAAGUAUUGUGCAGGCCUUAAGUUUACUAUAAGAACAACAACAACAAAAAAAAAAAAUCACUUUCCACUGCAGGUGAUGUGCAUCCAACGUUCCACUGGAUCUGUCCAAAGGGCAGGCUGAUACUGCGGCAGAUGCCACUGAGCGGACACACUGCAAAAAGGCGUCGGGCGUUUUCCGAAGUUUGUCAACUGACCUAGAUCUGAGAACGUUGGUACAUGUAUUGCUACCGUUGCCAAGCAGGACUGAAGAUUGUUAGAGUGUGAACAAUGUUCACACUUUGGUCAAUGCAAGCACAUCUUUUUUUUUUAGUAAUAUUGACUAACAAGAUUGCAGCAAUCAAACAAGUUAACACCGAAAUGUUAAAAGCAAUAAAGAAAUUAAAGCCCG